ncrna:unclassified sequences L31-Firmicutes ribosomal protein leader
CUAUGUUUAAAAGUUAAACAUGGCGAAAGGAG